UAAACGUUUGCCCGGUUGGCGAGUUUCCUGCGCGGCCGCGGCGUCUCGGCGUGCGUGGCGCUGCCGUCCGCCGCGGCACGGCGCUGCUGCGGCGCUUCUGCAAACCGAAACGGAAGCGAAGGGGUGCAAUUACAGCGUUCGUUCGUUACUUUUCCUGACUGUGGCCAGAGCGACUAUGUAUCUCGCCGGUCGAUUAACUGCGAGCUUCGCCAUUCCGGCGAACGAACGAAUACGUACGCGGCCUUCUAUUUAUGUACCGGGUGGUCCUCUGGUUACGGCAGGUCCGGCGUGCCGACAUUUUUCAGAAUCGGAAUAAUCGAGAACCGAGUCGAAUCGUAGCGGCGUUAGUCACGUGUUCGGACACAGCCCGAUUCAGGACAUUGAAUGUGAUCGCGCAACGAUCCGCGACUGAAUAUCACAUCCGGAUGAAAAAUGAAACGAAAAUAUGAAUCCACGUUGCAGAUCGCAGACUCUGGAUAAAUGGAGGAAAAUAAAUAAAGUGCACGAUUUUAAGUGACAGUCACUGCAGAGAGAAAUAAAUGGAGAGAAAUAAACGGAGGGAAAUAAAUACAGAAAAAUAAAUAUAGAGGAAUAAAUAUAGAGAAAUAGAGAGAAAUAGAUAACGCGGACGCUUCCGCCAUAAAUGGUAGAAGAUCAGAAGCCAUUCCUCGCGGUGGAUCGAGCCGGAUCCGUUCGGGGAUACACGGACAGUUAAUUAACGCGCUCAGCUUCCAGCGGCGAGGGGCGUAUCGCAAUUUGUAACAACGGCAGUAAUUUAACGAUAAACAGUUCUUUUUUGCGGUGAAACGGUGAACAGUUGUCGUUAAACGAUUCGGCUUGAAAUAUCUAUCGGCAUCUGCGCACCGCGCAGUAUCUGGUCCAAAAAGCUGCCCAUGUAUGUAAUACGGUUUUACAAUAAUCGUCCGUAGGAUGAACAACUUUCGUUGUCCGGGCUAUUGGAAUAUAUGAACAACAGUGUAGCAGUA